GGGGAAUAUUGCACAAUGGGCGAAAGCUGAUGCAGCGACGCCGCGUGAGGGAUGACGGCCUUCGGGUUGUAAACCUCUUUCAGCAGGGACGAAGCGAAAGUGACGGUACCUGCAGAAGAAGCACCGGCCAACUACGUG
rnacentral:rRNA from 1 species